ACGGAAUCAUAAAUAUAUUAAACCACACCAAAAAGCCUGGUGCUGGCUAGUUUUGAUAUGAAUACAACCUGUGCAGUUCAGGAAAAGCUUUAUUGAUAAGCCCUUAAGAAAUUAACUUGCUGGUUUUCUUUAGCUAUGAUUUUGUAUAUGGAAAGCUUAACACUUAGUAAGUACAUUGAUGUUUUUCUAAAUUUCCAGACAAACGAUCAGCGUACAGAUGGCUCUCAGUCUAAAACUAGCACAGACAAGCUGGAAUUUAGAAGAAAAUAAGGUCUCAUGAGUAAAAUCAGAAUGGAGCGACUCUAAAGUUCACAAAGAUGAUGAGCAGAAAUGUAUUAACAAACUUCAGAUCACACGACCAAUUCUAAUUUCAUCAUUAGAUAUCUAUGCAUCUUGCUGAAUGAUGUGGAAAUUACUUCAUUUUGUUGAAAUGAUUUCUUCAUACACAAGCACAGAGACUGACUACAAGCCAAAAGAAAAAGCAGGGAAGUCUGAGGCCAACCAGAACGCUAUCAGAUACCCUAAAAACAUACCAGAAAGAGCUGUCUUGAGCCUGGGGGAGGUCAGAAGAUGCCAAGAGUCACUAGCCACAACUGGGACACCUCAGCCUCCAGCCUCCAGAGAUGAGGUCAGAGGACAAGGAAAGCUCCUCCUUGGUUCCAGAGAGACAAGCACCUUCAUUCAUGCUUUGUGAGACCUGGGCCAAUCUUGGAAGCUUGAAUCCAUCAGAGACUGGUCAAGGCACAGUGCAUUAUGCAGAGAACUCAUGUCCCACCAAAUGCAAAUGCAAUAACAGGAGAAAACCGUUCUUGCUCUUGGCUUAACUCCUUAUAAAAUUAAAGAACCACCUAUCAGAAACUCCACUCAGUGGCAUGCAAAUAAUCUGAUAAACUCCAUAGUAGUGGGCCUUUAUUAAUCCAGUUGUUACCUGCUAUGUAAUUUUGUUGUCAUUUUGUCAUUUACUACACAAAUUGCCUUUAGUUGCAGUAAAUAAUUUGUAAAACUCAUGUGGUCAUUUUACAAGUCUUCAUUCCAAGAACCUGAGCCCACAUUAUUCAGUGAUGCGGAACAGUUAGGGAAAUCCAAAGAGAACCACGGGAAUCACUGAUAGAUGAUGGUUCCUCUUGUCUGUCACCAGCAAAAACCUCCUAACAGCAGUCCCUGGAUAGGUAAGCAGGGUUUCCACAUCUACCACUGUCCUAUUUCCAAUCAAUUCAGGCUUUUGUGUUAGUAUAUAAAACUAGCAAAGAUGAAAACCAGGCAGACAUCAUUGCUCAGUCCAGGUCUUAAGUAGAUGCUAUGAGUAGAAAUUACAUGCUCAUUAUGCCACAAUGUUUAUCACAAUAUCCAUCAACAUUUGAAUAAAUAAUUCUAAAAAAAUCACACUCGGCAACUGGAUUAGUAAAAUAAUAUUUGUGUCACAUAUUAUUUUAGCAAAACAACUACAGAGCCUCUGGUUGCUUUCCCAUCUUACUAUUAGACAUCAUUAAUAGAUAAUUUUUAAUACGCAGUCUCUAGUUACAUCUCUCCAAAAAGUACACCCUUCUUUGCCGUGACUCGGAUUUGAACCGAGGUUGCUGCGGCCACAACGCAGAGUACUAACCACUAUACGAUCACGGCAAGCUACCAGGAAAUUCUACAAAGGGGGAACUUUUUUUCCCUAGUGGUCUGCAAAAUUUAUACAAAUGGUGCCACCUACAGUUUGCAUUAAGUUUUAGCACCAGCGUAUUCGGAAUGCCUAAAAACAGGCUCAGGAGAGUUAAAACAACCACUCUUCUGUCUCCCAAAUCUUUUCAGUAAGAACAUUUUUCUCCUAUUUUAUCAGUGUUGGGGAAAGCAAAUACCAGAGAAGUCUGCCAAUAUGUUGUACAGCUAGAUUUUGGCAAAAGGACAGGACCUACUUAAUUGAAAACUGUACUUGUUGAGUCAAAUGGGGCAUCAUUCAUUCUAACAUAAGUGUUCAUAUUAAUGGACAUUCUCUUCUUUGCUUCUGUAACAAGCAAACAACAUAAAAAGCACCAUUUCCAGGAUAUGUAUUAACUGCUAUGGAAGGAAUACUACAGAUGAAGUCUGAGGGGAGUGAGAACUCAGCAUCUAUUCAUCAAGAAAUUAAAUAGCCACUAUCAGAAGAGUGUACCAAAUGUUCUUUAUUACUGCACAUAUUCAUUAAAAUAUAAAAAUAAAAAUCACUGAAAAGCAUGGAAAACAGCAGUUCAGAAAAAAGGGUAGUAGACAAGAGCUGAAAUCAGCACACAGGGUCUUUAUAGUGAACAGGACAAUACAAUCUCAUCCUCAUCUGCAUGUGAGUUUAUGCGUAUUUGGAAGAUGGCAUUGUUCAGCACAUUGUACACGUGAGCAGUUGGAACAGACCUGGAACAAAAAUGAUUCAGUAGUAACUCCUGUGAAGUUUCUUUUGAUUAUAGACCUGUGGAACUAGAGUUUGUUGCAUAUUUACUUCAUUUCCAUACGCAGGACCUUAAAUAACUUUUUUUUUUUCCCCCCAAUAUCUUGCCAUUACUGGUUACAUGUUCUGCGGUGCUUUCUAGGCUGCUUUCUAAAUUGAAGUUAUCUCAUACACUAUUUUUAUCUGAGAUCUAUAUACAUACGGGAAUAAAACAUAGGUUAUAACAAAUGAAUUGUCAAUCACAUCCAUAAACCAUUGAAGCUUAAGAUCAGUCCAUAAUCCUUUGAGAUGAUGUAACAAGGAAUAAACACAAGGUAAAAAAUGAUUGUUUCAGUAAUUGUACUACACUGUUACUGCUUUCCACCCUGUCUUUAUGCAUCAUGCCAUUGUUUACAAUUAUUUUUCUUUACCCCCAAAAGAUUGUUAGUACACAUGAGCAUGUCUAGUGCAGUACCUGUGCUUUCUUGUCAUCCCAGUGAUUCUCCUUCCCAGAGCCCAUCCGUGCUACUUUUAAUUAUGCUCAGAAGACAGAAGUGAAUUUUUUAUACACCCAGCUGAGAAGACAUUCUAAGUAUCUACUGAUUUUUUUGUAUUAAAUUUUUUGUUGUUUGACUUUUUUGUGUGUGUGUGUCUAAAAAUAAUAAUCUUUCAAAACAAGGACUUUUUUUCUGUUAAGAUAUAAGCUUUGGACAAAACAUUUGUCUUGUCCAGAAUUAAAUCUCUGGUCAAAAGAAAAAAAUAAAAUAAAAUCAGAAAACCACCCUAUUCCCCCCACCCACCCCCCCAAAAAAAAAAAAAAAAGGAAGUCAACAGCAAUAUGAGAAGAUCUGGAAUAUAAGGAUUUGAAGCAGAUACAAAAAUCAUCUCUGUCUCUCCCUAUCACUUCUCAAGGGCAUUUUUUACCUAUCAGAUUAUUAGUCAAUGUAAGGAUGUCUCCCAGUAUCUCCAGUCUAACCUCUUCCACUAGCCAUUAGCAUAAUAACCAGCCUCCAGUCUGCUCACCUGUGUUUAAGCUCAGUCCCCUCAGCAUAAGGCCAUAUGUUGAGUUUAUGUUGUCUCUGAAGAGAAUUAGCUGUGCCAAAGUAACACAUGAUAGAGAAACACCCUCAGUAAAUUCACAAGCAACACAGAACUUUUGGGAGUGGCUGACUCACCAGAGGGCAUCGCAGCCAUCCAUCCUUGAC
rnacentral:tRNA from 1 species